GAAUGCCAGUAGAAUGGAGAGUCAUAGGGGCUCAAAAACAGAGAAACCAGGAACAUUGAGGAGGAAGUUAACACUGCUGUAUGUUUCUGUAUGGGUUUCUGGCUGUUUUUCUCUGCAUGGAUCUGUGUGUCUGUGUGUGCUGAUGACCUGGAGAGGUUUGUGGGGUACGUGAAUGAGGGGCUUCUGUGCUGUGUGUCGGGAUGUGUUGGAGCGCCCCCUCCAGGCCCCUUGUGAACAUGCCUACUGCGACGCCUGCAUCAGCUCCUGGCUCAUACACCACCACUCCUGCCCUGAGGACAGACUUCCACUGGACAUCAGCACUCUGAGACCACUGCACAGGUACAUGCGUAAUGACCUGUCCAGGCUCCAGAUCCGUUGUGUUAACUCUGGCCAGGGCUGUGAUGCCGUGUGCUGCCUGGAGACAGUUCACACACACGAGGACGAGUGUCCAUUCACCUUCAUAUCCUGCCCCUCCACAGGUUGUCUGGUGCAGGUGGAGAGGAGGGGUCUGGAGUCUCACCUGUUGGAAGUGUGAGUUCCGCAGCAGGGCGUGUCCUAGCGGCUGUGGCCACACCCUCCUCUCUGUAGACCAAUCACAGCACAACUCUGUUGCGGAGCUACGAACAGAAUUGGAGCUGCUCAGGGCAGAUGUUGGGUAAGGUGGAGGAGGUGAGGCGUGAGAUGGAGUCGAGGCUGGACUCUCAGAGGAGACACAUGGUGCAGAAAGAGUCUCUGCUGAAGAGUGAGGUGGAGGACCUCAAGGGCCAGGUGUCGAGGGUGAUGUGUGGGCUCUCUUGGGGGCAGAGCGCCUGCGGAGACAGGAGCUGGCAGAAGCGGAUCUAGAGAAGAGGGAGCUACUGGAGAUGCUCCGGAGCCUGCAGCCAUGCAGGGGCCAGCGGAACAGAGACAAGCCAAUCAGAGGACUGCAUCAAGAAGACAGGACAAUUAGGAGCCAGCUUCAAGUGGAACACCCAACCAGGGGCCUGCUGAGGUCAGGGCCAACACAGGCUUCUACCCAAUCACUACCCUCGGCUUUGCCUACUCCAGCCUUAUACCCGCCUACCCCCACAGCCAGGGGAGGGGUCACGCAUGGCCUGCCCCCGCAGCCUUACCCUCGACUGCAUCAAGAGCAGAGGUCACCGUCAUCUGAGGGGCCAUUCCUAAUGUUACUGGGUUAUGUUCAGUACUGGGUUAUGUUCAGUACUGGGUUAUGUUCAGUACUAGGUUAUGUUCAGUACUAGGUUAUGUUCAGUACUAGGUUAUGUUCAGUACUAGGUUAUGUUCAGUACUAGGUUAUGUUCAGUACUAGGUUAUGUUCAGUACUAGGUUAUGUUCAGUAGGCACAAAUGAGAGAAAAUGCUUUAACUUCCUCAAUUCCUUCUUCAUUUAACCGUCUCAAAACAUUUUUAUCUGGUGUGGCAUCCCCUGAAUGCACCCUUGAUGAUUGGCAGAUACCUGUGACAUUGCUUCAACUCAGAGAAAACCAGCCUGCUGAGAUCCUAAAUAAAGUCUGCUGAAACACC